rnacentral:rRNA from 1 species
CAGUAGCCGCGGGAAUACGGAGGGGGCUAGCGUUGUUCGGAAUUACUGGGCGUAAAGCGCACGUAGGCGGCUUGGUAAGUUAGAGGUGAAAGCCCGGAGCUCAACUCCGGAAUUGCCUUUAAGACUGCCGAGCUAGUAGGUGAGAGAGGUAAGUGGAAUUCCGAGUGUAGAGGUGAAAUUCGUAGAUAUUCGGAAGAACACCAGUGGCGAAGGCGGCUUACUGGCUCAUUCUAGACGCUGAGGUGCGAAAGCGUGGGGAGCAAACAGGAUUAGAUACCCCGGUAGUCCCUGUCUCUUAUAC